rnacentral:rRNA from 1 species
CCUACGGGAGGCAGCAGCAAGGAAUCUUGCGCAAUGAGCGAAAGCUUGACGCAGCGACGCCACGUGGGGGAUGACGGCUUUCGGGUUGUAAACCCCUUUUCUUGGUGAAGAGGAAGGACGGUAGCCAAGGAAUAAGCCUCGGCUAACUACGUGCCAGCAGCCGCGGUAACACGUAGGAGGCGAGCGUUAUCCGGAUUUACUGGGCGUAAAGAGCGCGUAGGCGGCCCUUCAAGUUGAUGGUGAAAGCUCCCGGCUCAACCGGGAGAGGUCUGUCAAUACUGGAGGGCUUGAGGACAGCAGAGGAGGGUGGAAUUCCCAGUGUAGCGGUGAAAUGCGUAGAUAUUGGGAGGAACACCAGUGGCGAAGGCGACCCUCUGGGCUGUACCUGACGCUGAGGCGCGAAAGCGUGGGGAGCGAAGAGGAUUAGAUACCCUCGUAGUCCACGCCCUAAACGGUGGAUACUAGGUAUAGGAGGUAUCGACCCUUUCUGUGCCGAAGCUAACGCCUUAAGUAUCCCGCCUGGGGACAACGGCCGCAAGGCUACAACUCAAAUGAAUUGACGGA